ncrna:unclassified sequences RAGATH-24 RNA
UUGACAGUCCAACAACCACCAGCCCGCGGGAGAUACUCGCGGUGUGGCGCUCGGGAGAGAGUGCUAGCGAUUCGUUCGCUUGAUGACGUGGGAAUAGGACAC